rnacentral:rRNA from 1 species
UACGUAGGCAGCAAGCGUUGUUCGGAGUUACUGGGCGUAAAGAGUGCGUAGGUGGUGCCCUAAGUCUGUUGUGAAAUCUCCCGGCUUAACUGGGAGGGUGCGGUGGAAACUGGGGUGCUUGAGUGUGGGAGAGGUAAGCGGAAUUCCUGGUGUAGCGGUGAAAUGCGUAGAUAUCAGGAGGAACACCGGUGGUGUAGACGGCUUACUGGACCACGACUGACACUGAGGCACGAAAGCGUGGGGAGCAAACAGG